UCAAAGGAAUUGACGGGGAGCACCACGAACGGGUGGAGCUUGCGGUUUAAUUGGAUUCAACGCCGGAAAUCUUACCGGGACCGACAGCAAUAUGAAGGCCAGGCUGAAGACUUUGCCGGAUUAGCUGAGAGGUGGUGCAUGGCCGUCGUCAGUUCGUACUGUGAAGCAUCCUGUUAAGUCAGGCAACGAGCGAGACCCACGCCCACAGUUGCCAGCGUACUCUCUGGAGUGACGGGUACACUGUGGGACCGCCGCUGCUAAAGCGGAGGAAGGAAUGGGCAACGGUAGGUCAGUAUGCCCCGAAUAUCCCGGGCUACACGCGAGCUACAAUGGUUGGUACAAUGGGUAUCUACCCCGAAAGGGGACGGGAAUCUCCUAAAACCAAUCUUAGUUCGGAUUGAGGGCUGCAACUCGCCCUCAUGAAGCUGGAAUCCGUAGUAAUCGCGUUUCAACAGAACGCGGUGAAUACGCCCCUGCUCCUU
rnacentral:rRNA from 1 species